GCAAUCUUUCCCUUAAUUGUUUUCCUUAUUCUUCUUCAUGAAUGUUUGGCGAGCAUAGUGAUGAAUGUUUUAUACAAUCCGAUCAUUUCAUGAAUGGAAAUAUCAAACCUCCUACUCAUUCUGAAUGCUCCUUUUAUUUAAUCUAAAUAUAUAAACAAAUUAUUGUAUUUUGUUACAAAUUUUAUGUAUUUAAAUGCCCAAUGAUGGAAAAUCAUUAUAAUUGAAGAGGUUAUUUGACGAAGCUUUUUGUCAGUGGUCGUUUGUUCACCACAAACAAAGUUUUUUUAUUCACAAGCACACAAAGACACAAAAUGUUUUUUUUUAGUGGUGAGUGAAUGGUUAUUUGAUGAAUUGCUGAAAUCGAAUGUAAAUCCUUGUAUGAUUCAUUGCUAUGAGAUCUGAGGGCUUUUUUUUUAGUUUAUAUAAAUAAGCACAUUCGAAGGCUUGAUAGACUCAAAAUGGUCUAAGUUUGUUGAGCUCAAAAGUUGUGCGAGAGUUUAUGUUGUCAAGUUUGUUAGUUAUUGUUUACCAGCUUUGUGUGCUUGGUGAUUUCUAAAUUUGACGAAAAUUUACUAGCAUCAAUUAAUUAGGAUCUCCAGUGAUCAGACCUAAAUAAAUGUUUUUUUAUUGCAAUGGGUUGUUGGAUUGACAUGUUUAUUUUUAAUGUUGUUAAGCAUUAGUUGUUAGGUAAUUGACAGUAACUAGGGAGUGUGGAUCUGGCAAUGGUACGAGGGGUCUUGGUGCACCUUAGCGCCACCGACAUGGCAUGGUUGCGGAGCUACGGUGGAUUCGUCAUAAGGCUUCUGCCCCAAGAGUCAAGAUCUUGAAAUGUGCUGAAAAAAUCGUGUUUUGAUAAUUAGAAUUAGUGUUAAAAAGUAUACUGAUGAUUUGUGAACAGAUUAAUUGUGUUAAUACAUUGCAUUCAUUUGUGAAAUGUGUUUUCUAUCCUGUUUACAUUGGAAUAAUUUACAUUAUGUAGUUUAUUAUUUGUUCUUUUGAGGUGUACGUUUUAUAAAUUGAUGCAAAUGAAUGAAUAUAGAUGAGUAACAUCAAAUUACUAUC
rnacentral:lncRNA from 1 species